AUGGAAGUGAUGAUUAUUUCUCCAAAUGAUGGAGGCUGAAAGAAGUCAGCAUACUGCAUCUCUAAUAUACAAAGAGGCACCAAACUCGCUAUAUCUAAUCCAU